rnacentral:lncRNA from 1 species
GAAAUAUAACAAUCGUUAAGGCUGACAAGUUGGUUCAACCCAUCAAUCAUUUUACAUCAGUAAUAACAGCAUGGACGAAAUCGAGCUAACAUAAUUCCUGACAGCCUGAACUGCAACAUCAAGAUUUACAUGAAGAUAUGAACCAAAACAGUGACCUCACUGGCUUGUCGCAAUCCCCUCACGCCCAACCGUAAAUCAAUCGAUCCAGAGCAACAAAAACUAUAGUUACCUCGUGGGCGAGGUUGGGAGCGGCGAGGGCGCGAGGCCGGCGAGGUGGACGGGGAGGACUGCGUGUGACGGCGACGGCGGUGGCGCCGAUAUGACCGAGGACGAGCGUAUGCCGGGCGAUGUGAGGAGGAAGGCAUGCGACGUCAACGCUGAUCCGGGUGACGCGGCCUGCGACGGCGAACUUGCGGCGGCAUGGACUCGAGCGGGGAGGGGCGGCGCGUCGGUCGGCGGGGACAAGAUUAGGGUUAGGGUGAGAGGGUUGCACGAUUUCGGGAUAAGAAAAGGAAAUCACGCGAUUGAGAUCGGUGGCGGCGAGACGACGGAUGCAACAACGGCGGAGCGGCGGCGGUCGAGGGCGGUGGCGCCGCGUGAGAGGGAGAGAUUAGGGUUGGAGAGGGGGGCGCGAUUGGGGAGGGGCGGCGGCGCGAUAGACGAAAGAAGAGGAGGCGGCAACGAUUGGGAGGAGGUGGGGAGGAGGCCAACGAGCAGGGGAGGCAUCGGGGGUGGAGGAGUGAGGAGUCGAUGGCGGUGCGUGGAGUCAAGGUGGCGGUGGAGUCGAGGGUUUUGGAGGCGGCGCGGGUGGAGUGGAGUGCAACGGCUGAGUGCGGAGGAGUCAACGUCGCAGAGGGGUGGAGCGCGUGGUGCAGCGGCGGUGGCACAUAAGCGUGAAGCACUAGAGGAGGCGGCGGAGGAGGUGGGGAAGAUGAUGGAAUCAACUGCAGCGAUGGGAAGGCAUUGGGCGGAGGAGGAACCAGCGUGCGGCGGCGUGCAGGUGGAGAUGACGCGGAUGAGGAAUUGGUGUAGAUGUGGCAGCGACGACAAUAGUGUGGAUGGAUGCGACGCUCCUCGUCGGGUUCGUGGCACCUGGGUGGUGGCGUGGAUGGAAACGGCACUCCGCGUCGAGCUCAAGGCAGAGAGAGAGGGAAGUGAGGGGAAGAGCGGCGUCGGCGGCGGCAUCCCUUCACGCGGAGGCGACAGAGCGAAGGAUAUGGAAGCUAGGGAGCAUGAUGACCCGACCGCCGAUGUGGAGGCAGCGGAUCGGAGAGGAUGUGGACAGGGCGAGCAUGAGUCUCCAUGGCAGCCGUCGUGCUCCUCCCACGACUAGCGCGGCUUAA